GCAGUGUAGCUACUGGAGUGGGGGCAUGGAAGCUGGCCUGGGCAGCUGAUGCAGACUAGGCAGGGCAGAUAGCUCCGCAGCAGGGCCACAGGACUCCCAGCCUGAAGCCGAGCUCCUACGGUCUUCCUUGGGACAGAUCAAUAUCAACCUUGUGACAGGCAACAUGUCUCCUUGAGGAGUUGUCUUCUGUCCCCUCAGCCUAAGCACAGUGGCUGUGAUUGAAAAGGCGUGUUCUCCCAAGGACAAGGCCCAGGAUGAAGCAGGUUGGAUCCAUGACGUAUGUCUGUGCUUUGGGAAGGAAAUCACUAGGAAAAGCGGCCAUGAAAGGAUCUGCAGGAUGGACAUCAUUGGAGCCCACUCCAGGAGUGCUGAAACCCACAGAAGGAUCCAGGGCCAGGAAGACAAUAUCUACAAGCAAGGCCAUGUGUGGGGGGUGUCCAGCAAUCCCAUGUGAACCUGAGCGGGUCACCAUGCAUCAGCCUUGAAGUCACAUAGAGGUCAACAGCUUAGUCAUCUCAGCGAUCACCAACUCUACAGCAGUCUUUCACCCACUGCCAACCCAAAUCUGCCAGUCUAAAGAGGUGAAGCUUAUCCCCCAAGGAUAUCCCUGCUGCAACUAUACUGGCAUGAUUCCACAGGAGCUGGGUGACCAAGGCCAGAAGAGUACCAGAGAGGCAUGUGACCACCCUCAAGGUGCUUCCUGGUUCCCAGGGUGUCAUGGGAUUGACAUCAUGUUCCAAUGGCUGUAUCCAAUAGCAGGGAUAGGUGCCAGGAACCAUUUGGUUGUUGUUGUUUUUGAGACAGGGUCUCUCACUGGCUUGGAGUCACUAAGUAGGCUAGGCUGACCGGCCAGUGAUCCGCAGAGAUCCACCUGCUUCUGCCUGAACCCCAGCAUUAGGGGUCUGCAGCCCUGGAUCUUCCCUAGAUGACAAAGUGUGUGUUGUGUGUUGACCCUGGCUCUCCUUGUUGGUCAAAGCCACAUGAAAAUGGUAACUUGCUGUCUAUGGCAGAGCAGAGCAUCGUUUACUGGAUAGAGCAUCAGCGUAUGCAAGCUGCAUCUCAGCUCCCAAAUGAGGACAGCACCGAGGUUCACAAGGCCAUUGUCAAGGAGAACAUUUAGUCUCUGACUCUGCUGGCACCAGCCUGAAGAUCCAGCUGUCCCCACGGAGCGUGCUGCCUUCCUAAAGAUCUGUCAUACUCCUGUCUCCGGGAAGCUGUGGGGUAAGGAUGCACAACUCAGCUUGUUUUCAUGUUUACUUCCGGCUGGAUAGCAUUUCACAGCUACCGGUUUGCGCCACCAGAAAGUGUCAACCUUGAAGAACUGCUUCCUCAGCGUCCUUGAGGAGCAAAUGAAGGAGUCUGGCUCUCAAGCAGCCUGAGUUCAAGACCCCUUCAACCUUCCUACGACCCUUGAGAGUUCCUUGCUGUGAGGUCAAAGAAGAGACUGACUCUCCUCUCCCCACUGUCUACAUAGUUCAGAGCUAGAAUAGCACAGGAGAGAUGCCCAGGUGUCACUAAAUACUUCCUACUUAAAGGACCUCACCCUGUCAGGACCUCACCCUGUCAGUCAGGACCUCAUCUCUCUAAGCUUUACUCACUUCCAGAAUGCAGGGGUUCUUACUCUGGUCUCUUCGCAUCCAGAGUGUGUGGUGAAUGAAUGAAUAAAUGGAUGAACAAGGGCUCCAUCUGGAUUGUUGGAGCCAUUGCCUGGGGGAAGUGAAGGACUGAUCAGGACCCUCCUGGUUAAGGUUUCUCUGGAGUGAAGCAUCCUGAAGCCAGUGAAGGUGUGGGAACAAUAAAUCCCCUGCUGUUGGCUUCCCCUGACAUAUCCACAUCAAGAUUUUCCAGCCUGUGACUCACAUGAGGAACCCCGAGAGACCCGGGCUGAUUGCUGUGUGUCACCUCCUCAGCUAUCAUCCCUCACGCUCUCUCACGAAGGAGUGCAUUGAGCUCACUGUCACAAUGUUUUAGGAUAUGGCAGCAAUUAAAAGCCACCGCUGGGGCUUCCUAAGAUGAGGCUUCUGCUGGGAGCUACAGCAACAGAUGCGCCCUACCUCCCUGGGCUUCACAUGCCUGUGUGCACCCCACCUGCCCACAGUCCUCGUUCUCUUGCACACUUGCCUCUUUUGCUCUCUUGUACACUUUCAUUUUCUUGGCCAUCCUUCAAAAUUGUGCAAUCUAUCAGGCCCUGAUCUAAGACAUGAGGGUAACAACACCACAAAAAAAUAAAUAAAUAAAAAUAACUACUGUUCCAAUCUCUGGUUAUUUUUCAUUCUUUUGUUCUCCGGAUGGACUUGAUCUGAGCAGAUCACUUGGAGUUGGGUAGAUUUGUGAUUCUGCCACCUGACAUGUUCAAUAAAACUUCCGAACCCCUCACUGUCUACAGCCUGAGAGUACCAAUAAAAGAUGCUCAACAAUAGAAACGUUUACACCUGCCCACCAGCCAACACCAUCCCUUCCAAAACCUCCUAGGUGUUCUGGGCAGAAAGGGUCCCCACCAGCCUUCACUUCAGUAUGUCUGGAGUCUUAAGUUGGCUCCUUACAGAGGAUUCCCCGAAAGAGAAUUGGACAUUGUUCCUGGCCUUGGCUCUGUAGAAGCCUCUUUCCUUUAGGAGAGCUUUGCUCUUCUGGUCUGCAGAAUGACACUCCCAGUCAUGAGCAGAAGCUGGGUGGGUGCCCUUCAAGCCAGAGGACCCACUGUCCAGUGGCCAAGCACCUGAGAAAGGCAGUUUACAGAUGGAAGUGUUUAUGUGGGCUCACAAUUUGAGGGUCUGUCCCAUCCUGGUGGAGACACAUUGUAUCUAUGGUCAGGAAGUAGAGAGGGAUGAACGCUGGUACCCCUCUCAUCGCUUCCUCUUAUUCAGCCCAGCAUUCUGACCCACAGGAUGCUAUUCUUACACUCAGUGUGCGUUUUCCAAUCUCAGUUAACCUAAUCUACAAACUCUUUCCCAGGCACACUUACAAGUUUGUCUCUUCAGUGAUGCUAGGUCUUGCCAUUGGGUUAAUUGAAGAUAUUAACCCACUGUGAUGUGUAGGUAGAUCUGGGUGCACAUAAUCCCCCCAUGGUCACUUUUUUUCUCCUACACCCCACCAGAAAGUGUGCCCUGAGCUUGGAUAUUUGCAAAACACUGGAGAGAAGUUGGUGUCUCUGCCUCUGAUGAAGGCUAUCAAUCCUCUAUCAAUCCCUGAAGUUGCUCAUAUUCAAAGGUCCCACUUUCAUAGCACAAAAGACUGCUCUUACAAAAGCCGCAUUUGCCCAGACUGGAAAGCAAGCCUUGCAAACUGCCCUGCACGUUGCUGUGUGUUGGACACUUUUCAACACCUCCACCAUCUGUUGGCUGAGUUACAUCCGCUAAACUGUAUGUUGUAAAAAGAUGGGGACAGGACUGAAGUUGCAUGGCAACUGGAAAACCUGCUGAAGAGGAAUGGCCAGUCCUGCCUCAUAGCCUGCUGCCACCCAGCCUGGAGAACUGAAUUCUAGAGGCUAGACUUCUUUUGUUUGUACCAGGACUUGCUGUUUCAGAAAACCUGAUGGUAUGUUGUUUCUAUGAAGUCAGUUCCCUUUUCUGUUUUUUUACAAAUGAGUUUAAAAAAUAAAAUCAAGGCAUGCUUUCAUAC
ensembl:antisense Dbhos dopamine beta hydroxylase, opposite strand